rnacentral:lncRNA from 1 species
UUGAGGAAGGUGCUUUACAAGGAUUUUGCUGUAUAUCGCAAAAGUUUGGGCUGAGUCUUGUGAGUUCAUUUAGAAGUGGACUUGGAAUUGCUGGACGUCACUUGUUGUUGACAGGGUUAUUAAAACACAGGACAGAAGCUGUUAGAAAUGCUUUAGUAUUUGUCCAAGCAGGUCAAUGUUGUUACUUAAUGGACUUAUUUUCUCACUGACCUAUAAGUUGAAGGUUAUUUGUUAGUUAAUACGGAAAUUCAAAGGCUUUAAUAUAAUUCAGGGACCAGCUUCAAGUAUUCCAAAGAGGGAGGCCCUCAUAAGAUACAAGCAUUUGCACAAGCUUGAACAGAUUUAUUUUGGAUCAUUCAUUUACAAACACUUAUGAAUUCCUGGUCCUUAAAAUUAGUAAAUUAUGGAUUAUAUUACCUGAUUCAGGAAAUAAACAACUAGCUAAUGAAUUUUCGGUUGCCUCACCAUUCAAUUUCUUUGAGAUAUGAUGCUAACUUUUCUUUUGGAUAGGUUAUAGUAUUAAGCUUUUCUUUUUUUUUUCUUCUUCUUUUGGGCAAGUCCUUUUUUAUUGUUAAUUUGCUCCUGGUUUUUACACUCUCAGGCUUCAGUUCUGUGCUACAUCUCAGACUGAAUCUAAUCUCUGUUGUGACAACCUUAGAGACUGCUGUAUGUGAACUAGUUAAAUCGCACAUUUAAUUCGAAUCAAGGAACGGAAUGCAUUGAACAUAGAAGAAAGGACAUGAAAGCAAAAUAAUUUCUUUUUCCCAAAGGUAAGAAGCAUAAAUUAUUGCAGAAUCUAUAUGUGCUUUUAAUAUACUUAUUGAUGUCUGACUUUUGUUCAUUUUUAUAAUCGUCAUGACUAACUGAAAAAAAUUCAUCUUAUGUUUCAUGUCAGACGCCACAUGUGGCAAGUGGGCCGGUCCCGGGCUUAAACGGGCCAAGUGGGCUGGUCCAAACGGUCCUGGUCCCGGGCCGGUCCCAAAUUAAAUGGGCCAAACGGUCCCGGGCCAAAUGGUCUUUUUGUAGGGACUGGCCCGGGCUAAACGGUCCCGGCCCGCGGGCUAAGUGGGCCCAACGGAUUAAAAAAAAAAAUUAAAUAGAAAUUAGAGACAAAAGGAUGUUAAAAAAAAUAUCUAAGGCAAUGCCUUGUAAAUUUUAUUAUAGAAUUGUGACCUAAAUUUUUUAAUUCAAAUUUAAAGUCUAAAGACAAAAAUAUUGUAAAGAGAUAUUCAAAGCAAUGCCUUGUAAUUUUAUUAUAGCAUUAAAAAAACAUAGCAAUAUCUUUCUUAGUCUUCAUCUCCCCUAUGGAAUGAGCACAACAAGGUGCUAAUACCGCCAUUGAGAAGAAAAAGAAACUAAUCAAGAUGUACCAAAAUACAAGUUACAUAAUACAUACUAAUUUUUGUUCAUACAAGUUACAUGGUAUCUCUUACAAACUUCAUAAAUCCAUCAAGAUCCAGAGGAAUUUCCGUUGGUGGUGGCGGAAAAGUAGCUUGGUCAUCGCCACUUCCGGGCGAAGCAACAUCCCCCGC